rnacentral:tRNA from 1 species
CCAUUAAGAAGCUAUGAAACAGCGCUAGCCUUUUAAGCUAGAGAAAGGGGGGCACAACCCCCCUUAAUGAU